rnacentral:rRNA from 1 species
GACGAACGCUGGCGGCGUGCUUAACACAUGCAAGUGGAGCGACGAACCAGGGCUUGCCCUGGGGCAGAGCCACGAACGGGUGAGUAACACGUGGGCAACCUGCCCCGAUGACUGGGACAACCCGAGGAAACUCGGGCUAAUACCGGAUGUGCUCCCUCACAUAAGUGAGACGAGUAAAGGAAGCUUCGGCCUCCGCAUCGGGAUGGGCCCGCGGCCCAUUAGCUUGUUGGUGGGGUAACGGCCUACCAAGGCAACGAGGGGUAGCUGGUGUGGGAGGACGAUCAGCCACACUGGGACUGAGAAGCGGCCCAGGCUCCUACGGGAGGCAGCAGUGGGGAAUCUUGCACGAUGCGCGAAAGCGUGAUGCAGCAACGCCGCGUGAGGGAAGACGGCCUUCGGGUUGUAAACCUCUUUCAGUUGGGACGAAGGUCGGGUGGUUAAUAGCCAUUCCGGCUGACGGUACCUUCACAAGAAGCCCCGGCUAACUACGUGCCAGCCGCCGCGGUAA